rnacentral:rRNA from 1 species
CCAGAACCCUUUGUGACUUAUACCUAUACUGUUGCCUCGGCGCAGGCCGGCCUUUCUCGGUAAAGGCCCCCUGGAGACAGGGAGCAGCCCGCCGGCGGCCAGCCAAACUCUGUUUCUAUAGUGGAUCUCUGAGUAAAAAACAUAAAUGAAUCAAAACUUUCAACAACGGAUCUCUUGGUUCUGGCAUCGAUGAAGAACGCAGCGAAAUGCGAUAAGUAAUGUGAAUUGCAGAAUUCAGUGAAUCAUCGAAUCUUUGAACGCACAUUGCGCCCUCUGGUAUUCCGGAGGGCAUGCCUGUUCGAGCGUCAUUUCAACCCUCAAGCCUGGCUUGGUGAUGGGGCACUGCCUGUGAAAGGGCAGGCCCUGAAAUCUAGUGGCGAGCUCGCCAGGACCCCGAGCGUAGUAGUUACAUCUCGCUCUGGGAGGCCCUGGCGGUGCCCUGCCGUUAAACCCCCAACUUCUGAAAAUU